GACGAACGCUGGCGGCGUGCCUAAUACAUGCAAGAUGAGCGAUGAAGAUUGGUGCUUGCACCAAUUUGCAGAGCAGCGAACGGGUGAGUAACGCGUGGGGAAUCUGCCUUUGAGCGGGGGACAACAUUUGGAAACGAAUGCUAAUACCGCAUAAUAACUUUAAACAUAAGUUUUAAGUUUGAAAGAUGCAAUUGCAUCACUCAAAGAUGAUCCCGCGUUGUAUUAGCUAGUUGGUGAGGUAAAGGCUCACCAAGGCGAUGAUACAUAGCCGACCUGAGAGGGUGAUCGGCCACAUUGGGACUGAGACACGGCCCAAACUCCUACGGGAGGCAGCAGUAGGGAAUCUUCGGCAAUGGACGAAAGUCUGACCGAGCAACGCCGCGUGAGUGAAGAAGGUUUUCGGAUCGUAAAACUCUGUUGGUAGAGAAGAACGUUGGUGAGAGUGGAAAGCUCGUCAAGUGACGGUAACUACCCAGAAAGGGACGGCUAACUACGUG
rnacentral:rRNA from 1 species